rnacentral:piRNA from 1 species
UUCUGGAAUGGAGCCAUUGCAGUG